rnacentral:rRNA from 1 species
AUUGAACGCUGGCGGCAUGCCUUACACAUGCAAGUCGAACGGCAGCACGGGAGCAAUCCUGGUGGCGAGUGGCGAACGGGUGAGUAAUAUAUCGGAACGUGCCCAGUCGUGGGGGAUAACGUAGCGAAAGCUACGCUAAUACCGCAUACGACCUAUGGAUGAAAGCGGGGGAUCGCAGGACCUCGCGCGAUUGGAGCGGCCGAUAUCAGAUUAGGUAGUUGGUGAGGUAAAGGCUCACCAAGCCGACGAUCUGUAGCUGGUCUGAGAGGACGACCAGCAACACUGGGACGGAGACACGGCCCAGACUCCUACGGGAGGCAGCAGUGGGGAAUUUUGGACAAUGGGCGCAAGCCUGAUCCAGCAAUGCCGCGUGCAGGAUGAAGGCCUUCGGGUUGUAAACUGCUUUUGUACGGAACGAAACGGCGAGCUCUAAUACAGUUUGCUAAUGACGGUACCGUAAGAAUAAGCACCGGCUAACUACGUGCCAGCCGCCGCAGUAA